rnacentral:rRNA from 1 species
GCUAAGGUAGCAUAAUCAUUUGUUCUUUAAUUGAGAGCUAGAAUGAAUGGUUUAAUUAAUUAAAUUUAUUUGCACUAUUAGUUAAUAAAUUUAAGUUAAAGUAAGAAUUCUUUAAUUAAUUAAGGGACGAUAAGACCCUAAAAGCUUUAUUAGUUGAUUUAUUUUAGUUUUGAAAAUAAACUAAUUUCACUGGGGCGGUAAAUUUAUAUUAACUAGAUUUUUGGUAAUUGGUCCUUUAUAUAAAGAAACAAUGUGUUAGUUACUUUAGGGGUAA